rnacentral:lncRNA from 1 species
GCUUGCCCACUUUUUCCCUCUUGCUGGACAUCUCACUUGGCCCCUUCACUCCCAAAACCCCAUUGUCACUUACAAAACCGGUGACACCGUUUCCCUAACUGUAGCUGAAUCUCACGCUGAUUUCAACCAUCUAGCAGGCACGGAUCUUUCUGAGGCUAGAGAAAUCCACCACCUUCUACCCCACUUGACCAUAUCCCAUGAUCAAGCAAAUGUUUUAGCCUUGCAAGUCACUCUAUUUCCAAACUCUGGAUUUUCCAUAGGAAUAACCUCACACCAUGCUGUUCUAGAUGGCAAGACUUCAACAUCGUUUAUCAAAUCCUGGGCUUAUCUUUGUAGAGAACAACAGCAAUCACCCUUUUCUCUGCCACCCGAACUUUCUCCAUUUUAUGACAGGAAAGUAGUCCAAGACCCCAAUCAUUUAGACCAAAAAUAUCUCAGUGAUUUGUUAAAACAAGAUGGAGCCAACAACAGAAGCCUCCUAGUUUGGGAUUCGCAAGUCCCAGAAGAUGCAACAAGAGGAGUGUUUCAUCUCUCUCGUUCAGAUAUUGAAAAGCUGAAGCAGAUUGUGGUGUCCAAGAAGAAAGGAAACAGCAGCAACCUUCGGUUGUCAACGUUUGUGUUAUCCGUUUGUUAUGCUUGGGUUUGCAGGGUGAGAGCUGAGGAAACAAAAAACAAAAGGGUUAUGUUGGGUUUGAACGUUGACUUCAGGGGGCGUUUGGAGCCAGCAGUUCCCACAACGUAUUUUGGGAACUGUGUAGGGCCAAGGUUUGCAAUUGUUGAAACAAGCGAGAUAUUGGGGGAGGAUGGAUUCACUGUGGCAGUGGAUGCAGUGAAUGAGAGUUUGGAAAAACUGAAGGAGGAAGGGCUGAGUGGGGCAGAAAAUUGGUCAAGUGAGUUGCUUGAACUUUCCAAAGCUGAUUUGAUGAUAUUUGUAGUUGCUGGCUCACCAAGGUUUGAUACUUACAGUAAUGACUUUGGAUGGGGAAGACCAAAGAAAGUUGAGAUGGCUUCCAUAGACAGCAGUGGAGCAUUUUGUUUAUCAGAUAGCAGAAGUGGUGAUGGGGUUGAGAUAGGGUUUGUGUCCACCAAAGGAGCAAUGCGCAAUUUUGGGUCUCUCCUUCGCAAUUCCCUUCAAUCUUGACUUUUCUCUUUUCUCAACAAUAAAAGUGGAUGCAAAGCAAAAUAAGAUUUUUUUCACUCACAUCCCACUUUCAUUUCAUCUCAUGUUUGAUUUUGCUUUCAAGAGCUUAUGUAUAAAUUAUGUUUAUCUUUCACUUAAUUACCAAAUUAAAAUUAUUCAGCCAAAACACAGUUAUACGAACCAACCGAGAUAUUAACACUACAAAAAAUUAUGAAAUAUAAAUUAUUUUUUAGAGGCCAAAAUAAUUAGUUGCAAUAUUAACUAAAUUAGAAAACAUUUUAGAAACUAAAAAAAAAAUGGUUUCUAAAUUAGUUUCUAUUAUUGUUAAAUAGUUUUUAAAUUAGUAUUUAAUUAGGUUUUUUGACCAUGAUGGGGUUAUUUUUUUUGUUUUUACCAAAAUGGGUCCGUUUAAGAAAAAUUACAAAUUUAGGCAAGUCGUGCCAAUUCGACACGACUUCAUAUGCAGAAGUCGUCCCAAUUAGGCACGACUUCUGUCAUGUCAUACUGAAGUCGUGCCAACUUGGCACGAUUUCUGUCAUGUCUUAUUGAAGUCGUGUCUACCUGACACGACUUCUGUCCUGUCAUACUGAAGUCGUGCCAACUUGACACGACUUCUGCCACGUCAUUAUUUUUUUUAAAUUUUAUUGUUUAUAUAUUGGGUAGUAAGUUAUGUAAUGUUAAAAAUUAAUUUGAUACAUAAUUUUCUAAGAGUGCUAGUUUUAAGGAACAAAAGAUUGGAUAAUGUGUAUGGAUCAUGUUUGAAUUGAAUGAAUAAAUACAUAGAUAGAUAAAGAAAAUGAAUGUUCUAUGAGUGUUAUGAAGUAAUAAAUACAUAGAUAAAGAAAAUGAGGAAAUUAAUAAUCAAACUUGAAUUGAAUUUUAUUAUUAAGCUUGUCUGUGCGGACAAUUAUGACGUGGCAGAAGUCGUGUCAAGUUGGCACGACUUCAGUAUGACGGGGCAGAAGUCGUGUCAAGUUGGCACGACUUCAGUAUGACAGGGCAGAAGUCGUACCAAGUUGGCACGACUUUAGUAUGACAUGGCAGAAGUCGUGCCUAAUUGGGACGACUUCUGCAUAUGAAGUCGUACCGAAUUGACUUGACUUGCCUAAAUUUGUAAUUUUUUUUAAACGGACCCCAUUUUGGUAAAAACAAAAAAAUAACCCCAUCAUGGUCAAAAAACCAUUUAAUUAGCAACCAAGGUUUUAUCUACCAAUUAUUUAGUUUCCAAAUUUAGUAGAAAAACAUUGGUUGCUAAUUGGAUAUCAAUUUAGAAACUAUUUAACAAUAAUAUAAACUAAUUUAGAAACCAAUUUUUUUUUAGUUUCUAAAAUGAUUUCUAAUUUAGUUAUUAUUGUAACUAAUUAUUUUGAUUUCUAAAAAUUAGUUUCUAUUUCAUGAUUUUCUUGUAGUUAAAUGAUCACAUAUAUAAGUUUAAAUUUUCUAGUGAUUGAAUUUAACUAAGUUUAGGAAAUUUACUAAGGAAAUAAUACGUUUCUAAAUUUACUUAUAAAUUAUUUUACAAAUUUUAAUAUCAUCACUUUCGAAGUAAUACUUUAUUUUAGAAGAUACUAUAGAGUCCGAUGAAAUUUGCCGUAAUAAUUUUAAUAAAUUUUUGUAAGAUAACUUUUUUUUUGUAUAGCUUUGAUAUCAGUGAAUUUAUGAUUUCAUAAAACUUACUUGUAAAGUAAGCUUAAUUAAAUGUCAAUUAGUUUAAUUGCAUUUCAAUUAUGUUCAUAUUCUUCAAUUUAAUAUACUUUGUUUCCAUGCACCUUUAAACUUAAUAUAAAUAAAACUUUAAUUACUUUUGACUUAAUAUUCAAAAUUUUCUUUAAUAAAUCUAAUUUUAUAUAUCAUUUAAAUAAGUGUUUUUUCAAAUAUUAUUACAUAAGUUUUUUAUUAUAUGUUGGUGAGACCAGUAGAUGGUUUUGUGACUCCGAUGUAGUUAUUUUCAAAUACUAAGCAUUUGGAAAUAGACUAUUUCACACUGGAAGAGUUGUGGUAUUGAUGUGGUGGGUGUUCUAACUUAAAAGAUAGGUUGGAGUUAUUGUUUCAUGAUAGUGUUGUAAUGAAUAUGGUAAACAUUCCAAUUAUAUAUGGACAUUUGUUUGUGGCACACCUUUGUGAGAAGUUGUGGUUUCAAUCAUCACUUUUUAGAAUUAAGGGUUGAGAGUGGUAAUGAUGAAGGAAUUCAGAAGCAGACCAACUAUGUUGAUGAUGGUGAGGAGGCUAAUGUGUGAGGAAGGUGAGGGUGAGUGUUCGGAGGACAAUGGUGAGCUGGCUGAUUGUGAGAAGGACACGUGUGAGGAAGGUGAACAGGGCCAAGAUGGUGAAGGUGAGGAGGGUAAGGGUUAUGAGGGUGACUUGCCCAUAAUACAAAAUAAAUUACGUGGGGCAGAUCAACAUUUUUGUGUUAGACAUUUCUAGGAAGGUAUCAGGUUAGAUAGUAGAAGAAGAAAACAUCACCAGUCAAAAAACUUUAGCUCAUGCAUGAUGAUACCAUAUGAGAAAUUAUUUUUAAUUAUCCAAAGAUACACAUAGAAUGAUACCAUAUACAUAAAUAAAAUAUGUAUGACUAAACUGUACACAUGCAUGCAUACUUAAAAAUUUAUGUAUAUGAUUAUUAUAAGUUACUUAAUAUGUCUGCGAAUAUAUAAUUGAAUUAUGAAAAAAAACUACUGAACACUAGGUUUCUUUUUCUACUUUUACUUUAUAAUCCUUUUUAAUUAUAAAUGUUCCUGCUAGGGAGAUGGAACCUAGAGAACUAUUGAAGUCUUCUUCUCCUUCCUUCGGUCGGUCAGGUGACUGGAUGGUGAGUUGGGAUUCUUCUCGUCUUCCUGCUUCUCCUUCGGCACUCAGCCUCGGCUGAACACCGGAUGGUGGGGGUACCUGUGAAGGCACUCCGACGCUCAAGUCAGUAAAGCGGGUGGUCAGCUCUCAGGUAGGUGAACAGUAAUAAAUGACAUACCUUACUCCUUGGAAUGCAUGCUAUUUAUAUUAUUCUAAUGGACCUACCUUGUUGGACCCGCUUAUCGAGGUGGAUACCGCUUAGGGUUGCAUUACCUAAUUCUUGAUGAUGGGUUAACUUCACUGAUCUUGGUUUUAGCGUUAGCUGUAGUAGGGGUCGGCCGUCGGCCAAGUUCCCAUUGUAUGGGUCGACCAUCGGCCAAAUUCCACUGGUCUUGGUCGAGUCUUAUAAGGUCUCGGCCAAGUCUUAUAGGGUCUCGACCUCUCGGCCUUUCGGCCAAGUCUUCUAAGGUCUCGACCUCGCCCAUACCAGGACAAUAAAAUAUUAUGCUUUUUAAUAAAAUUAAUAUUAAUAUUUUUAAAAAUAAUAAUAUAUUUUGAUUGUCAAAUGAAUAGGAUAUUAUCUAAAAAUAUCAACAUAUUAUGUGUAUCAAAUAUGUGCUUAUAAUAAAAAGUACUGAUAUUUUAAUAUUCUUUAACGAAAAUAUGCAUUAGAUAACUUAAAGUAAUAUUUAAUAACGUUUACUUUACUUUUUAAUUUUAAUAUAGAUUAUGUAAUCUUUUAAAAGAUCGUGGAAGUAUUACUUUGCUCUAAUAAAUAAAUAAUGAAUUCAAAAGACGAUGUUAGAGACCAUAAAUGAGAUUCGCUGGUCGCAUUUGUUGAAUACUUAGGAUUUGAGAAACCAGAGACAUACUUAACCUCUCUGUUUCUCUGGUUUGAACGACAACAAAAGAAGCCAUGAAAGUGGUAGAGGUGUUCAACGUAGCUCCAACUUCAGAAUCAAAUGAGUUACCAGCUCAAACAACACUUCCCCUCACCUUCUUUGACAUAUUAUGGCUAAGGUUGCCUCCUGUUCAACGCAUCUUCUUCUAUGAAUUUCCUCAUCCAACUCCUCUCUUCUUUGAUACCCUUCUUCCCAAACUCAAACACUCUCUCUCUCUUGCGCUUGCCCACUUUUUCCCUCUUGCUGGACAUCUCACUUGGCCCCUUCACUCCCAAAACCCCAUCAUCACUUACAAAACCGGUGACAACGUUUCCCUAACUGUAGCUGAAUCUCACGCUGAUUUCAACCAUCUAGCAGGCACGGAUCUUUCUGAGGCUAGAGAAAUCCACCACCUUCUACCCCACUUGACCAUAUCCCAUGAUGAAGCAAAUGUUUUAGCCUUGCAAGUCACUCUAUUUCCAAACUCUGGAUUUUCCAUAGGAGUAACCUCACACCAUGCUGUUCUAGAUGGCAAGACUUCAACAUCGUUUAUCAAAUCCUGGGCUUAUCUUUGUAGAGAACAACAGCAAUCACCCUUUUCUCUACCACCCGAACUCUCUCCAUUUUAUGACAGGAAAGUAGUCCAAGACCCCAAUCAUUUAGAACAAAAAUAUCUCAGUGAUUGGUUAAAAC